CCUUUGGAGUAUCACUCAAACGUUAGUAGCCUGUCUUUUGACGGCGAGGACGGAUAUGAUGAACAAGGAA
rfam:Mitsuokella multacida DSM 20544 genomic scaffold Scfld0, whole genome shotgun sequence.